GACGAACCGAGCGAACGUUGUUCGGAAUCACUGGGCUUAAAGGGCGCGUAGGCGGGCCGCCGCGUCCGGGGUGAAAUCCUCCCGCUCAACGGGAGAACGGCCUCGGAUACGGGCGGCCUGGAGGGGGGUAGGGGCGUGCGGAACUGUGGGUGGAGCGGUGAAAUGCGUUGAUAUCCACAGGAACGUCCGGUGGCCGAAGGCGGCACGCUGGACCCCACCUGACGCUGAGGCGCGAAAGCCAGGGGAGCGAACGGG
rnacentral:rRNA from 1 species